CAUCCUUGCUAAUAAGUUCUCCCCAUACUGACCAGAAGCUGAGGUUGCUUUUACAGGAUUCUCUCCUGUGACACAGAGGAAGCCAUUCAUCACCACCUCCUUUCAAAGGUUUGAAGAUGUCAGAAGAGAUAUAAGGCAAUCCACUCACAAAGAUAUAAGAGGAGAGAAGGCAACCCAGCAACUGGACAGGGGCCAUGGAGAGUAAACUGGGAGCUGUGCUCGGGAUUCUGUGGGUGCAGAUUUGCUGAGUGCAAGGAGUUGAUGUGGAGCAGAGUCUUUCAGAUCUGAGUCUCCACGAGGAAACUAGUUCUUCUCUGAGAUGCGAAUUUUCUACCACCAUCAUGAGUGUGCAGUGGUUCCAACAGAAUCCCCGGGGCAGCCUCAUCUGUUUUACUUGACUCCUGGAACAAAGGAGAAUGGAAGGCUAAAGUCAACAUUCAACUCCAAGGAGAGCUACAACACCCUGAACAUCAGGGAUGCCCAGUUGGAGGACCUACGCACCUACCUCUGUGCAGUGGAGGCACAGUGCUUUCUACAAGCCUGCAGCCUGGUCACAAACUGCAGAUGAGUGUGCAGCUGCAGUCCUGACAUGGGGAGACUAGAUAGGAGACUUUUCACAGUGGUGGCUUUAUCAGAUCCCCACCAAUUACAAAGAAAUUUUGAGGAAACAAAAUUUCCAAAACAGAAAUUCAUGCUUAAAAUCAGAUUGACAUGUCCUUGAUUUGGAUAAGCUUAAAUGUUCAGAAACAUCAGCCCACAUGACUAAGAUGUAUACUUUAUUUCACCAAAUGCUUAUGCUAAUGUCAUGAAAUCUAAGCCUCUCUUACACAUUCCAGAAUCAUUUGGACCAUGGCUCAAAACUGGAAACUGGGGACAACUAUUUCCGUCCUAUAUUUAGAAACCAUAGGAAAACAUUUACAGCUAAUCUACUUCAUAUAAAUUUAAUAAAAGAAUUAAAUUUGAAGAUCUAAAAGAUUAAGUUUAAAAGGCAAGAUAAACACAAAUCUUAUUAAAUUAAGACAUUAUUUCUACAAUAUCUUGAUAUUUUUAAAAAUAUAAUGAAUUUAUUUAUGUAAUAUAAAAAUAUUUCACAUAAAAUGAUCAGAGACAAAAUAUCAAUGACAAACUAGAGAGCUAUAUUUGUAAUUUUUAUCAGAAUGAUAUUUGUAGCAACUGAUUCUACCAAAAUAUUAACACAUCUUCAAUGUAAUAUAUACACACAACUAACUUCUCAUUCAAAGAUAGCUCUCAAAAGUAAAAGUGGAGCCCACCUAAAGGUCACACAAUAGGGCAUUAUUUCAUUAUACAGUAAUUAAAUAUGAUCCCAACAACUGCUUUUGCCCAAGGGUUGGUAUCUUCUAGAACUGAAAAUCUCUGACAGGCCAGUUGUCUUUAUAAGGAACUGGAAAGCAGCCAUGCUCACUGAUUCCCAAACUGUCUCUUUUUUACCCUGUUCACCACUCAACACAGCAGCUGAGUGGUUACAACAGUGACUGGAUUAGCUAAAAUAGAACAAAAAACAAACACCCCCCCAAAAAAAACAUAUGAGGAGCUCAUAUACAUGCAAAGACACAAGCUUGCGCACAAAAAUAUAUAACACCACAAAACUGGAAGCCAUAAUAUAUAAGAAAGUAACUGAUAUGUUAAAUAAUGACUCAGAUAAAGCAUUAAGAGACCUAGAAAACAAACAAUACAAUUGAGUUUAUUUGAGUUGGCCAUCUUCUGCUGAGCAUAAGACCUAACUUAAGUGUGGUUUGUGUACCCAGGGAAAUGUCCUUGGAGAAAACUAAAUUUUUCCUUGUGAGCAAUUUUCAAUUGGAGAUAGCUUCUGGGUUCGAAGCAGGUAAAGUCCAUUUUCACCUUCCUUAGUCCCUUCUAUUCCCAGUGGCUCAUAUAAUCCUUUUGCUUCCUCUUCCACAAAAUUCACUGAACCCUUACAGGAGAAGUUUAAUGAAGACAAUCUAUUGAGGACUGGGUGUUCCAAUGUCUCUCAUUCUCAGCAUAUUUUCCAGGUGUGGAGUUGUAGAUCCCUGUGUUUGUUCCCAUCUACUGCAAGCAAAAGCUUCUCUGGUGAUUGCUGAGUAAGACAUUGAUCCACUGAUGUAGCAGAAAGUCAUUAGUAGUCAUUAUAUCAUUAUGGAUAUUUAGUAGGACAAUGAUACUUGGUUUUUCCUUAGGUCCAUAGCCUGUCUAGACUCAAGUUUUUGGCCACCGGAGCAGUAUUAGGCAUGGAUUUCAUCUAAUGGGCCCUAAGUUCAUUCAGAAUGUGGAAGGUCACACCAAUAUCAACUGUCUUUUUAUCAUACCACUGUACCAUGUAUAGGGAUCGCCAUUGUAGAAUAAAGGACUUAUAGCUAUGUUAUUCUUUACCUUUCUUCUCUGGUAAUAUUAUACAUAUGCUUUGCUAGAUUUAAAGACAGGAAACAGACUCACUAGUGUGUUCAAACACCAUUCUUAAUCUCUCAAAACUGGAACACACUUGAUAUGACAUAUUUGUGUCUUAUGUGUCUGAGUCCCUCACAUGUCAGAUAACACUUAAGCAGAGGCUUCACUGGUUAAGGAUGCAACGACCAGGUGGGAGUAGAACUCAGCUGCUGUGGGUAUGCAGAGGACUCACUUCUUUGAACGCUGAUUGUGCAGGCUUAGGGCAGAAGCACACUCUUUUUCUCAGUAUCUGAGUGGAUGACUCAAGCAGUAGAAUUGUUCAUUAAAAAGAACAACACCCCAAU